CUCCUACGGGAGGCAGCAGUGGGGAAUAUUGGACAAUGGGCGAAAGCCUGAUCCAGCCAUGCCGCGUGUGUGAAGAAGGCCCUCGGGUCGUAAAGCACUUUAAGUUGGGAGGAAGGGCUUACAGCGAAUACCUGUGAGUUUUGACGUUACCGACAGAAUAAGCACCGGCUAACUUCGUGCCAGCAGCCGCGGUAAUACGAAGGGUGCAAGCGUUAAUCGGAAUUACUGGGCGUAAAGCGAGCGCAGGCGGUUUCUUAAGUCUGAUGUGAAAGCCCCCGGCUCAACCGGGGAGGGUCAUUGGAAACUGGGAGACUUGAGUGCAGAAGAGGAGAGUGGAAUUCCAUGUGUAGCGGUGAAAUGCGUAGAUAUAUGGAGGAACACCAGUGGCGAAGGCGGCUCUCUGGUCUGUAACUGACGCUGAGGCUCGAAAGCGUGGGGAGCAAACAGGAUUAGAUACCCUGGUAGUCCACGCCGUAAACGAUGAGUGCUAAGUGUUGGAGGGUUUCCGCCCUUCAGUGCUGCAGCUAACGCAUUAAGCACUCCGCCUGGGGAGUACGACCGCAAGGUUGAAACUCAAAGGAAUUGACGGGGGCCCGCACAAGCGGUGGAGCAUGUGGUUUAAUUCGAAGCAACGCGAAGAACCUUACCAGGUCUUGACAUCCUUUGACCACUCUAGAGAUAGAGCUUCCCCUUCGGGGGCAAAGUGACAGGUGGUGCAUGGUUGUCGUCAGCUCGUGUCGUGAGAUGUUGGGUUAAGUCCCGCAACGAGCGCAACCCUUAUUGUUAGUUGCCAUCAUUUAGUUGGGCACCCUAGCAAGACUGCCGGUGACAAACCGGAGGAAGGUGGGGAUGACGUCAAAUCAUCAUGCCCCUUAUGACCUGGGCUACACACGUGCUACAAUGGGAAGUACAACGAGUCGCGAAGUCGCGAGGCUAAGCUAAUCUCUUAAAGCUUCUCUCAGUUCGGAUUGUAGGCUGCAACUCGCCUACAUGAAGCCGGAAUCGCUAGUAAUCGCGGAUCAGCACGCCGCGGUGAAUACGUUCCCGGGCCUUGUACACACCGCCCGU
rnacentral:rRNA from 1 species